UCUAUCAUAGAUGUACCUGAGAAGACUCAUGAGAUAUUUGAAGAACCCGUGCAAAUGUAUCAAUGAGUGACGCAACAAUCUCUCCUCCAAGAAUCUAAGACUUAACAGUUUCAUAUUUAGGGCCUAGACCUCCUAAAAAUCCUAUCACAGCUAAUUGUUCUCUUUGAAGUUGCAUUUGCUGAACAUUAGUUGAAAUUGGGAGAAUAACAUUCGCAAAGUAUUGUGUGAUAGAGCAUCCUUUCCUUUCAGAUCAAUUAAACUUCUGCGAUAACUCAAAUCCGCAAUAGGAUAUUUUGACAAGAAUAUAACACAUCCAAAUACUCCCACAGAUCUUUUAACUAUGUCAAUAUGUGUUACUAAAGCAACUACAUUACUUUCCAUAGAAUUUUAUAUUUGACCAAUAAUACAUGCAUCUAUAAAGUCCCAAGUUUCAUCAUCUCUGGGUUUAGACUUAGUUAAGUGUCUAUGUUGAUUCCUAUCUGUCAAAGCAAGCUUCACAAUUUUCUUCCAUUAUGGAAGUUAGAACUGCCCUCAAGUUUUUUAUCAGUAAUUCUAUUGGAUGAAGAAAUAAUCGUAGUCAUCAUAGAAUGAUUUUUAUCAGAUCAUUCUCUCUUUUAUCCCUCGAAGUAUCACCCAUUCUCCAAGAACCAAGAAGAAAAUUCUCGCAAUAGCUUUCUUUAAAUAACUCGGCCCAAACAAAUCAAUAACGUAACAAAAUUGUUAAUAUAUCACCAAGAAACAGCAGCCCAGAAAUCACAAUCAGCAAACCUCCGCCUAGAAGUCAGCAACCAAAUACUAAUGAUCAACGCUGGAGAUAACUAAAAUCAGCGACCAGCAUCCAUGAGAAUCGCGCCAGGGAACUGAGUGAACAAGAAUCAACGGGAACGGCCCAAAAAUCAAUGACCCAGCAUCUCAAUGACUAAAAAUCAGUGACCCAAACAUCAACACUGGAGGUGACCUAGCAUCCCAAUGACCAAAAUCAGUAAGCAAUGAGCCACAACCAGGGAGCCGUGCGAUCACGAGGCUGAGCGAGCCGCGCGAAUCGCAUAAGGUCACGAGAGGGAAAACUCCCUUGAGGAAAAGUAGCGUGUGAGAAAAGGGACACACGAUGGAGACCUAGCCGUAACGGCAAUUGUUUCAGCAAGUGACCGAUGGUGGCAACGGCGAUUAUUCUGGCGUCUAG
rnacentral:lncRNA from 1 species